CUGUUUUCAAUAUGUUCAGCAGCUCUGGCAGACUGAUGUUCAAUUUAUUCAUAUGAUAAUUUAUAACAAACUGAGAAAAAGAGUCAAGAAGAGACUGCAUGAUCAAAUUCUAGCUCAGUUCAUCGUCCAUAGCAAAACCCAGCUGUCCCAGAUGAGUGAUCAAAUCAAUAUCUUCAGAAAAUGCAUUUACACGGAGGUGCCUUUAGUCAUG
rnacentral:lncRNA from 1 species